CCUCCUGGACGGGAUGAUAUAGCAGCUGGCAAACAGCAUAGUUUUAGCAAGACAUUGUGUGCCUUAGGGACUCUUCCCCUUCUUCCUCCCCUUCUUUUCAGCCAGCCAGGGGACAGAAGAGGAGAGUGGCAAUCGGCUGGAGGUCAAUGGACCCAAGGUUGAAAGAGGAGAGCAAGCACUGGGGCUAGUGAGGACCAAGCUGCAGCAACCCUGCCUGCUCAAGGCUGGGGCUUCCCAGAAACAUUGCACCACCAGGCCCUCACUGGAAAGCCUACAGAAAAGCCUUCAGCUGAGGAGCAGCCAGCUCUGCCAGAGUGCCUGUGAGCGAGCGGGAGAAAAGAAAUGGUCAAAUCUGCAGUAAAGAGGAUUACUUAUGAUGGCCUUUUAAAAAAUUGUGCACACAAAGGCGUAAAAGGAAGGAUGUACUCUCUUCACCUUUCCCUUCCAAAGGAAUUGACCUUCUUCUAUCCUAGAUUGUAUUUAGCUGAUGUACAUCUUCAGAUGCAAAUAUGAUUUGAUACAAAGCCUGCUGGAGUCAGUGGAAGGGUUUCCACUGGCAUCCAUCAGCACUGAGCCAAGUUCAUACUACUAAUGAAAUUUCCUAGAUAUUAAUAAUAAACAAUAUCAUGA